UACGGAGGGUGCAAGCGUUAUCCGGAUUCACUGGGUUUAAAGGGUGCGUAGGUGGGUUGGUAAGUCAGUGGUGAAAUCUCCGUGCUUAACAUGGAAACUGCCAUUGAUACUACUGAUCUUGAAUUUUCUGGAGGUAAGCGGAAUAUGUCAUGUAGCGGUGAAAUGCUUAGAUAUGACAUAGAACACCAAUUGCGAAAGGCAGCUUACUACAGGGAUAUUGACACUGAGGCACGAAAGCGUGGGGGAUCAAAACAGG
rnacentral:rRNA from 1 species